rnacentral:rRNA from 1 species
UACGUAGGGUGCAAGCGUUGUCCGGAAUUCUUGGGCGUAAAGAGCGUGUAGGCGGCCCGAUUAGUCCGCUGUGAAAGUCCAGGGCUCAACCCUGGAAUGCCGGUGGAUACUGUCGGGCUAGAGUCCGGAAGGGGCGAGUGGAAUUCCUGGUGUAGCGGUGAAAUGCGCAGAUAUCAGGAGGAACACCAAUGGCGAAGGCAGCACUCUGGGACGUGACUGACGCUGAGACGCGAAAGCGUGGGGAGCAAACAGG